UACAGAGGUCUCAAGCGUUGUUCGGAUUCAUUGGGCGUAAAGGGUGCGUAGGCGGCGCGGUAAGUCGGGUGUGAAAUCUCGGAGCUUAACUCCGAAACUGCAUUCGAUACUGCCGUGCUUGAGGACUGGAGAGGAGACUGGAAUUUACGGUGUAGCGGCGAAAUGCGUAGAUAUCAGGAGGAACACCGGUGGCGAAGGCGGCCCUCUGGACGGAUACUGACGCUGAGGCGCGAAAGCGUGGGGAGCGAACAGG
rnacentral:rRNA from 1 species